rnacentral:lncRNA from 1 species
AGAAAAGCCCUUUUUCAAUAACUCAAUUCUUCCAAAACUUGCCCUAAUGCAUCGAAACUCACCCAAGCAAUUGUAUCCAAUCAUUCCUACCAGUCCAAAUACCCUAUAUGGACUCAUUUAAAGUCUCAAAAUACCUAAGGGAACAUCAUAACAAAGAAUCAAGGCUCAAACUGAAUAGAAUUUCUCUUAAGUUCUUAAAUCUUCAUUUGUUCAAAAGAGUGUCUAAAUCACACGUAAGCACUUUGUCUUGCAGGUGCCAUU